UCUGGCCGAAUAAAUUCCCAACACUG
rnacentral:piRNA from 1 species